UACGAAGGGGGCUAGCGUUGUUCGGAAUUACUGGGCGUAAAGGGCGCGCAGGCGGUCGCUCAAGUCAGGCGUGAAAGCCCCGGGCUCAACCUGGGAAUAGCGCUUGAGACUGAGCGACUUGAGUUCGGGAGAGGAGAGCGGAAUUCCCAGUGUAGAGGUGAAAUUCGUAGAUAUUCGCAAGAACACCAGUGGCGAAGGCGGCUCACUGGCCCGGUACUGACGCUGAGGUGCGAAAGCGUGGGGAGCAAACAGG
rnacentral:rRNA from 1 species